GACGAACGCUGGCGGCGUGCUUAACACAUGCAAGUCGAACGGUGAAGCGCCUUCCUUUUUGGUGGGUGUGGAUGAGUGGCGAACGGGUGAGUAACACGUGAGUAACCUGCCCCCUUCUUCUGGAUAACCGCAUGAAAGUGUGGCUAAUACGGGAUAUUCUGGGUCUGUCGCAUGAUGGGUCUGGGAAAGAUAUUGUUUCGGUGGGGGAUGGGCUUGCGGCCUAUCAGCUUGUUGGUGGGGUGAUGGCCUACCAAGGCGGUGACGGGUAGCCGGCCUGAGAGGGUGGACGGUCACACUGGGACUGAGACACGGCCCAGACUCCUACGGGAGGCAGCAGGGGGGAAUAUUGCACAAUGGGCGCAAGCCUGAUGCAGCGACGCCGCGUGAGGGAUGGAGGCCUUCGGGUUGUGAACCUCUUUCGCCAGUGAAGCAGGCCUGCCUCGUUUGUGGGUGGGUUGACGGUAGCUGGAGAAGAAGCGCCGGCUAACUACGUG
rnacentral:rRNA from 1 species